GUUUCCCGAGGACAGCUUGAGCGUAAACAAAAGGGGUAAUUUACGGUGUAAUCAUAAGGACCGCAAUGGAUUUACAGACAAAAACUAACUGCGUGCAAUCGUUGAAGUAAGCACUUCCGGCUUCAUCUGAAGGGACUCUGUGCCUUCUUGGUGAUAUCACCUUUUUGUAUGCCUCGAGGUAACACUGUUUUUCACUACUGUACAUCACUCCGGAUAAGAGCACCUGUUCAGUGAAGGACAGAUUUCCUUUGAAGAGUUCCUGGAGGAUGCCCAGAAGGAUGCCUGGGUGCUGCAGCAGUUCCUGAAGCUAGAGGUGAAUCCUGCUGGCUGGGUAAUGGCAAAACAAUGAGAAGAAAAAGCUGCAGUGAAUGCAAAAACUGUGCCAUGACUCCAAGGUACCGAGGACUUUCAGAAAAAUAACUGCUCAAUGAAAUGUGAGAAAAAUUGUUUGAGGGUAUCGGGAAUACCAAGUAAAUAACUCUAAAGCUCUGGGGGACUGAACGGAGAGUAUAUUUUGAUGCAGCUCACGUUUGACCUUUCUGCAGCUCAGCAAUGAACUUUUGCCUCUCUCCAUGGAGAACCAACAUAUCUGUGAGGCAUUCCUUCCACAAGCCAUUUGCCUCAGGGAUUAGAAUUUGUUCCAGCCCCAAGUUGUGAAAGUUCAAACACAGCCACUGAUGUUGUAUUUCCCACCCAUA